rnacentral:lncRNA from 1 species
UGGGUGGAGUUUUCGAGUGAAGGGCAAAGCUCCAUUGUUGACCUUAUCAGAACUCCCAAUGGUGAAGCAAAGGAGCUGGAUGACAUGGUUUGCCCUCAUGUUUGUCUUCCUCCUUUUAUUUACCAUGCAUCUUUUGUAUCAUCCCCUGCUUGGUUAUUUGCUCCCCCAUAUGCCUCGUGCGCUGCAUCUUGAGGAGGAGGAGAAAGUUUGCGGAGGAGAUUGAAGAUUGGGAAACAGAAUUCGCUAAGAACCGAAUGAAGUUCAAGGACUUGUACUAUGCCACCAAAGGGUUCAAAGAUAAUGGCCUUCUUGGAAGAGG